UCUAGCUGACGAGUCCGAAAUAGGACGAAACGCGCAUCCUGACA
rnacentral:hammerhead_ribozyme from 1 species